rnacentral:misc_RNA from 1 species
UUAAGUUCAGCGGGUAGUCCUACCUGAUUUGAGGUCAAAUUGUCAUAAAUUGUCCAAAGACAGUUAGAAGCAGAGCUACUAAUGGCAGUCAGCUAAUGGCAUAGAUAAUUAUCACACCAAUAGACCGUCUGCGCGAGCAUCCAGCUAAUGCAUUUCAGGGGAGAAGGCUUCGAAAAACCUUCAAAAAUUUCCCCCCCACA